CCUACGGGCGGCAGCAGUGGGGAAUAUUGGACAAUGGGCGAAAGCCUGAUCCAGCCAUGCCGCGUGUGUGAAGAAGGCCUUCGGGUUGUAAAGCACUUUCAGUGGGGAAGAAAGCCUUGGGGCUAAUACCCUCGAGGAAGGACAUCACCCACAGAAGAAGCACCGGCUAACUCCGUGCCAGCAGCCGCGGUAAUACGGAGGGUGCGAGCGUUAAUCGGAAUUACUGGGCGUAAAGCGCGCGUAGGCGGUCUGAUAAGCCGGUUGUGAAAGCCCCGGGCUCAACCUGGGAACGGCAUCCGGAACUGUCAGGCUAGAGUGCAGGAGAGGAAGGUAGAAUUCCCGGUGUAGCGGUGAAAUGCGUAGAGAUCGGGAGGAAUACCAGUGGCGAAGGCGGCCUUCUGGACUGACACUGACGCUGGGGUGCGAAAGCGUGGGUAGCAAACAGGAUUAGAUACCCCGGUAGUC
rnacentral:rRNA from 1 species